GAUGAACGCUGGCGGCGUGCCUAAUACAUGCCAGUCGAGCGAACAGACGAGGAGCUUGCUCCUCUGAUGUUAGCGGCGGACGGGUGAGUAACACGUGGAUAACCUACCUAUAAGACUGGGAUAACUUCGGGAAACCGGAGCUAAUACCGGAUAACAUGUUGAACCGCAUGGUUCAACAGUGAAAGACGGUCUUGCUGUCACUUAUAGAUGGAUCCGCGCCGCAUUAGCUAGUUGGUAAGGUAACGGCUUACCAAGGCAACGAUGCGUAGCCGACCUGAGAGGGUGAUCCGCCAACCUGGAACUGAGACACGGGCCAGACUCCCACGGGAGGCAGCAGUAGGGAAUCUUCCGCAAUGGGCGAAAGCCUGACGGAGCAACGCCGCGUGAGUGAAGAAGGUCUUCGGAUCGUAAAACUCUGUUAUUAGGGAAGAACAAAUGUGUAAGUAACUAUGCACGUCUUGACGGUACCUAAUCAGAAAGCCACGGCUAACUACGUG
rnacentral:rRNA from 1 species